UGAAAGCGAGAUGACUGCUCUCAUGAGCAAG
rnacentral:sRNA from 1 species